GACGAACGCUGGCGGCGUGCCUAAUACAUGCAAGUCGAACGCACAGUUUAUACCGUAGCUUGCUACACCAUAGACUGUCAGAUGCGUACGGAUCGCUAACUCGUCCUUCACCUGACUGGUAGCGGAGGGUAACUAAUGACAACUAUUGCUACUACCGCAUUAUAUUCAUUAUUGCAUGAUGAUUAAUUGUAACGUGCACUUGUACCCCUACCCGAUAGACCUGCGUUGUAUUAGCUAGUCGGUGAGGUAACGGCUCACCUAGGCGACGAUAAAUAGCCGAUCUGAGAGGAUGAACGGCCACACUGGGACUGAGACACGGCCCAGACUCCUACGGGAGGCAGCAGUAGGGAAUCUUCGGCAAUGGACGAAAGUCUGACCGAGCAACGCCGCGUGAGUGAAGACGGUUUUCGGAUCGUAAAGCUCUGUUGUAAGGGAAGAAAGGGUGUGAGAGGGGAAAGGACACAGUGUGACGGUAUCUGAACAGAAAGGGACGGCUAACUACGUG
rnacentral:rRNA from 1 species